AUUGAACGCUGGCGGCAUGCCUUACACAUGCAAGUCGAACGGCAGCACGGGUGCUUGCACCUGUUGGCGAGUGGCGAACGGGUGAGUAAUACAUCGGAACAUGUCCUGUAGUGGGGGAUAGCCCGGCGAAAGCCGGAUUAAUACCGCAUACGAUCUACGGAUGAAAGCGGGGGGCCUUCGGGCCUCGCGCUAUAGGGUUGGCCGAUGGCUGAUUAGCUAGUUGGUGGGGUAAAGGCCUACCAAGGCGACGAUCAGUAGCUGGUCUGAGAGGACGACCAGCCACACUGGGACUGAGACACGGCCCAGACUCCUACGGGAGGCAGCAGUGGGGAAUUUUGGACAAUGGGCGAAAGCCUGAUCCAGCAAUGCCGCGUGUGUGAAGAAGGCCUUCGGGUUGUAAAGCACUUUUGUCCGGAAAGAAAUCCUUGGCCCUAAUACGGUCGGGGGAUGACGGUACCGGAAGAAUAAGCACCGGCUAACUACGUG
rnacentral:rRNA from 1 species